GUCUUAUCAACAUCAUGAUUGAACCACAAAGUACUCGGAAGGCCCAGGUAGGUCCAGUUGCUAGGCAGAAGGGAGGAAAUGUAUGUUCUCUGGGGCUCCUUCCUGAAAGGCGUGCUCACACAGGCCAGGCCGGCUGAGCUUGUUUCUGAGUUUGGCAGCUUUGUUUGCUUAUUUGUUGAGCUGUUUCUGUGUGUGUUGUUUAGAGUAACAGGUGAGCGAGUCCAAGCUGUCCUCAUCCCACAGAGCUUACCAUUCAGUAGGGGAAGUGGACAGUAGGCUACCUCAAACUCCAUGCUAUGUGACAGAGCACAGGACCAGGAGGACGGGGUUGAUGUUCAGCAAGUGUGAAUGAAGAAAUACACUGUUCUAGGAAAUCUCAUUGGUGCUUGAACUGCGAGCAGUGAUGAUUAGCAGAGAGGAGAUGGAAAGAGGGCUGGGGCUCUGAAUCAAGAGGCAGCUGGCCAGUUGGAGGAGCUGAAGGGAAACAAAAAAUGCAGUGAGCACAGUGUGGACGAGUCUUCAGCCAGUGGUGUGUGCAGCCGGUGGGUCUGUGCAAUUGCAGUCAACUUAGUCCCUGUGACCUCUAAUGGGUAUCGAUGCAGUAGCUACAAUAGUGAGCUAGUCGUCAAGGUGUGCCGGUGAUGUCACCCUUCCAUCUCAGGGAUUUUCACUGGCUCACCCGUUCCAACAUAUGAAUAAACUACUUGGCGUUUUUUGAGGCAUUUUCUCUUUCCUACAAGCCCUUCCUGGCCUGGAUCAGAAGAAACGAGGCAACCACAAAGCAUGCUGCCUACUGAUGCCCCCGCCACCCCCACUCUUCCCACCGCCAUUCUUCAGAGGCAGCCGAAGCCCGCUUCUCUCCCCAGACAUGAAGAAUCUUCUGGAACUUGAGGCCUCCCCAUCACCCUGCAUGCAAGGCUCUCUAGGCUCUCCUGGCCCCCCUGGGCCCCAGGGUCCACCUGGGCUUCCUGGCAAGGCAGGACCAAAGGGAGAAAAGGGGGAUCUUGGCCGCCCAGGAAGGAAG
rnacentral:lncRNA from 1 species